UGAUUUUUUCUGGAGCAUCUUCAUAGGAU
rnacentral:piRNA from 1 species